rnacentral:lncRNA from 1 species
CUCUGCCAAAGUUCCUCCUUACGUUGCAGCCUGAAAGCUUUCUCCAAAUAGUAAGCUGGGGCAAUCAUAGGGCUUGCCUUUGUUUCUUCAGCUAUUCCAGGUAAGAGGAUAAAUCCAGUCCCUGUUAUUCCAUUCUGGUUGGAAGCCCUCUCCUCCUUAUUAUUUAACAUAAAUUUUGUUGGAGAUGAACUUUGCCAUUUAGUUCCCACGUAACAGAAUAUUCAGAUGAGACUGUGACUAAAUUUAUGGAGUAAUCAUUGUAGCCUAGAGAUGGAUGGUAUCACUAUCUUCCAGAGAUGGAUACAAUGACUGUUGAGACUUUGUGUCUCUCUUUUUUGAGGAGAAAGUAUCUUUAUUUCUCUGAACAAUCAUUGCAUUAUGUUUCUAACACAAUGUAACUAUUAGAUUAAUUAGAUCGGGGAGUAUAGAAGUUUAAAUAUAAAUGCUGAUUGGCCAAUAUAAUUGACUGUAGCAGUUGGAAUUUUGUCCCUUGACUCCAAACACCCCUUCUGUACUCAGCUUUAUGGCUAAGACUAGGUCUCAAGGUAUUUCUAUUGAAAUACCUUCAUGUUAAGCUCAGGGGACAGGGAGGCACCAGAGGGAGCAUUCAGUCUGGAGGAGGACAGCAAGUCUUCUCCCUGACUGCUAUGUUCUUCCUCCCUCUUCCCCCAUGUGCUUCCUGUGAGCAUACUGACACCAACAACUAACUCUUCACCCAGGAAUCAGCAAUGUCUUCCCUUAGUGGUGGUUGAAUAUUGUUUUUAAUUCUCUAUUUGAAGAACCCAUUUUACUGCGCCCCUCUUCAAAACACCAGUAUUCCUCCAAGUUUCUAGGUUUUAGUAGUUCUGAUCUCAGUUCUUUCCUGGAGGUAAUGUAAGGAAAGAACUGAAUGAAGGAAAUCAAGAGAGAGGAGAGGUGGCUCACAGUAACACAGGUUUAUUCAGACAAACCUGCAGAGAGGGCCCAGUGGAGAGUCCUUUCUUCCAUUUACAGCCUAGGGUAGUUAUAGGGGCAUGAGGCAGUGGGGGAUUUUGCUAGGGGAUUGUCAGGGAAGCGUGCUUGUAGUCAUCACCUCCAUUGUUUAGGUGGUCACUGUGACAUGUCAAACCCAGUGCUUUUCAGAAUUGCAGUCUCUCAAAACAAUUUUCUUUCUUUGCAUGAUAAUGGAGUAUUGCCUAGGGUUUAGGUCAGGGUGAUUCAGGGUGUGAGAUAACUGUUGUUCUAAGAUGGAGGAUAUGUUUCAAAAUGGUGUUGCCUGUGUCCAGUUCUUCCUAACAGGCAGGGCAUCUUUUCCAUAUGCUUAUUAUCCAGGCAGGUUUCCUUUUCAUGUGGAUUGCCUAUUCAUAUCCUUUGUUCAUGUUCUUCUUUCUAAUUUUUAAACUGAUUUUUCUGAGUCCUAAAUAUUCUGAAUACAGAUUUUCAUUUAUUUGCAUUGUAAGCAAAGUUUGUGGCUUGCCUUCCUCUUUUUAAGUUUCAGAAGACAGUUCCUCACUUUCCACCAUGUGCCUCCAUCUUAACUGGCUUCCUUUCAUAAUGGCAGCCAUGUGUAUCUGUCUUAAUAAACUGACCCCCCUGGAGUGCUAUCCCAGGGUUUUUUAAGCUUCUAGUCAAAACUAUUAAAGGCUGGUCAUAACCAGCAUUUUAAAAAAGUAAAAAGAAGAAAAUAUAUCAGAGUGCUUCACACUGUUUAAAAUAGAGAAGAGAAAGAAGGAGAGAUUUGAACAAUUCAAUUAUGAUUCAAUGUCAAAAGUACUAUGUUACUAGAAAGGGAAUAGGCUUCUGCUGGGUCAAUCCAUCAAGCACCCAUUGGUAAGAACAUUUUGAAAAGAAGAGAAUAGUAAGACAAUCACUGUUAGCCUGGAUACAAGCAAAAAGUUCUAGUUAAGGAUUAGUAGAUUUACUGAAAGUUGUUAAAAGACUUUCAUGUCCUGUAAGGUUGACAUAAGCUAAGUGUACAAGAAAUUAGUUUCUCAGAAGAGGUCUUCAUCCCAUUAAAUCCAUCAGAAAAUUGCUUAAGUAUUUUAUCAAAAGAUAAUUCAUCCCUUUGGCUGGGCAUGACGGUAUAAACCUGUAAUCCUAGUGACUUGUGAGGCUAAGGCAGGAGGAUCACAAGUUUGAGGCCAGCCUCAGCAAUUUAUUGAGGCCCUAAGCAAGUUAAGUGAGACCUUCUCUCAAAAUAAAAAAAAAAUAAAAAGGUCUGGAAAUGUAGUUUGUUGGUUAAGUAUCCCUAGGUUCCAUUCCCAGUAUCAAAAAAAAAAAAA